rnacentral:rRNA from 1 species
UACGGGGGGGGCAAGCGUUGUUCGGAAUUACUGGGCGUAAAGGGCUCGUAGGCGGCCAACUAAGUCGGACGAUGAAAUCCCCAGGCUCAACCUGGGAACUGCGUCCGAUACUGGAUGGCUUGAAUCCGGGAGAGGGAUGCAGAAUUCCAGGUGUAGCGGUGAAAUGACGUAGAUAUCUGGAGGAAUACCGGUGGCGAAGGCGGCAUCCUGGACCGGCAUUGACGCUGAGGAGCGAAAGCCAGGGGAGCAAAGCGGG